UGAGCAAUCUGCCCUUCUCAUCGGAAUAAGCGUUGGAAACGACGUCUAAUGCCGAAUACGACCUCCUUUCGCAUGAUCGGAGGUGGAAAGCUCCGGCGGAGAAGGAUGAGCUCGCGGCCUAUCAGCUAGUUGGUGUGGGUAAUGGCCCACCAAGGCUUCGACGGGUAGCCGGCCUGAGAGGGUGACCCGGCCACACUGGGACUGAGACACGGCCCGGACUCCGUACGGGAGNAGCG
rnacentral:rRNA from 1 species